CGUCAUUGUUUAGGAUGUCGUCUGAAAUGUCACCAAAAUUGCAUAAAAACGUCACAGUUUGGUAUGUCGUCCGAAAUGUCACCAAAACAUCAUAAAAACGUCAUAGGUUUGUACCUUGUCCAAAAAGUCACCAAAACGUCAUUGUUUAGGAUGUCGUCUGAAAUGUCACCAAAAUUGCAUAAAAACGUCACAGUUUAGUACGUCGUCCAAAAAGUCACCAAAACGUCAUUGUUUAGGAUGUCGUCUGAAAUGUCACCAAAACUGCAUAAAAACGUCACAGUUUGGUAUGUCGUCCGAAAUGUCACCAAAACAUCAUAAAAACGUCAUAGGUUAGUACCUUGUCCAAAAAGUCACCAAAACGUCAUUGUUUAGGAUGUCGUCUGAAAUGUCACCAGAACGGCAUAAAAACAUCAUUGUUUAGGAUGUCGUCCGAAAUGUCACCAAAAUUGCAUAAAAACGUCACAGUUUAGUAUGUUGUCCAAAAUGUAACCAAAACGUCAUUGUUUAGGAUGUCGUCUGAAAUGUCACCAAAAUUGCAUAAAAACGUCACAGUUUGGUAUGUCGUCCGAAAUGUCACCAAAACAUCAUAAAAACGUCAUAGGUUAGUACCUUGUCCAAAAAGUCACCAAAACGUCAUUGUUUAGGAUGUCGUCUGAAAUGUCACCAGAACGGCAUAAAAACAUCAUUGUUUAGGAUGUCGUCCGAAAUGUCACCAAAAUUGCAAAAAAACGUCACAGUUUAGUAUGUCGUCCAAAAAGUCACCAAAACUGCAUAAAAACGUCACAGUUUAGUAUCUUGUCCGAAAUGUCACCAAAAUUGCAUAAAAACGUCACAGUUUAGUACGUCGUCCAAAAAGUCACCAAAACGUCAUUGUUUAGGAUGUCGUCUGAAAUGUCACCAAAAUUGCAUAAAAACGUCAUAGUUUAGUAUGUUGUCCAAAAUGUAACCAAAACGUCAUUGUUUAGGAUGUCGUCUGAAAUGUCACCAAAAUUGCAUAAAAACGUCACAGUUUAGUACGUCGUCCAAAAAGUC